UACGGAGGAUGCAAGCGUUAUCCGGAAUGAUUGGGCGUAAAGCGUCCGCAGGUGGCGAUGUAAGUCUGCUGUUAAAGAGUCUAGCUCAACUAGAUAAGAGCAGUGGAAACUACAUAGCUAGAGUACGUUCGGGGCAGAGGGAAUUCCGGGUGUAGCGGUGAAAUGCGUAGAGAUCAGGAAGAACACCAGUGGCGAAGGCGCUCUGCUAGGCCGUAACUGACACUGAGGGACGAAAGCUAGGGGAGCGAAUGGG
rnacentral:rRNA from 1 species